GAUGAAGAACGUAGCGAAAUGCGAUAAGUAAUGUGAAUUGCAGAAUUCAGUGAAUCAUCGAAUCUUUGAACGCACAUUGCGCCCCUUGGUAUUCCGAGGGGCAUGCCUGUUCGAGCGUCAUUAUAACCCUCAAGCUCAGCUUGGUGUUGGGGCCUGCUGCAGUGGCAGCCCUUAAAAUCAGUGGCGGCGCCAUCUGGCUCUAAGCGUAGUAAUUCUUCUCGCUAUGGAGUCCUGGUGGAUGCUUGCCAUCAACCCCCAAUUUUUCUCUGGUUGACCUCGGAUCAGGUAGGGAUACCCGCUGAACUUAAGCAUAUCAAUAAGCGGAGGA
rnacentral:misc_RNA from 1 species